rnacentral:sRNA from 1 species
CUGAAAUACGAGAUUGUGUUGUUUCAUGCCGUUU